ensembl:lincRNA
UUACAAUAGAAGUACUGUAUGUAGUUCCUAGUAUACUACACCACACAGUCCUCUGACAAAUUAACUAUCCAGACACAAUGGCAAUCCAAGAUCUAGACACCAUCUUAUUGUUUCAAAAUACUAUGCAUAAUUGCUUAUUGCCUUAAUAAUCAUCUCUAAUUCACCCCCUCAUGACCUGAAGUCAUUUUCCCCUUACACUGCACAGAUACAGAAAGUUGUUGUGGGUCAAUCUGUUAGCAGUUUUCUUAAACUCUGGGAUUGAAUCCAAGACUCAGACAGAUGUGAUUAAUAAUGGCUGUUUCCCUAAUAAGUUGUGAUAGGAUGUGAUGUAAACAAGUCAGGAAUCUCCACCAGCAAACAGGAGUACUUAAAGAAUGCAGAAGUUGAACCUCCAAUUGUAAAGGGAGGAAAACGAAUCUCGGACCGUCCAGCAACUUUGUUUAAAACUAUGAAGUGAGCGCAAAGUCAUCAAACAGAAAACACUGGACUUGAAGGUUUAUAAUAACAGCUACCAGCUAUCUCCUGCUGAUCCACUUCUGAAGCAGUGUGAAGAUGGAUUUUGCUGUUUUUCUUUGCUUGUUUUUUGCCGUUAAAUUGUUUUGAUCGGAUGACCUAAUUUAUGAUGUUUGCCUGUCUAUUUUUGAACUGGUAGUAACAUGAAGUUCUGCAGACCAGUUUUCAGUUCGGAUCACUCAAACAGUUUGAAGACGAGAGCACCUAGCAAACGAGCUGGGCAGAGGACUGUGCUGGUCUGCACCUGUCCCGGGCGCCUCUCUCUUCGGCCGGGGGGUCGCCGGUGGUCCUCUCUUCGCCUGACCCACCUGAAGGGCACGACGGCCGCCUCACAAGACGUCUACAGCAGCUCGCAGCCCCGUACGGAGGCGGACCGGUAGUUCAUUAUGCUUGUGAAUCUGCUGUCCGAGAGGAACUGUACCUUCUCGUCUGGAGAGGAGGAGGGGGACGGGGGGGUGAGGGGUGCGCACGGCUGCCCCGAUCUUCUGCUCUAGUUGAAGAAAGGAAACAUGAUACAAGUCAUUGAAAAAGCAAACUAACCCAGUGAAGGGAGCGCAGUUUGUAUUGCUGUCACACGGUGCUUUAUGGUGACACAAGAUAAGGCAGGUAACGCUCAGCACUGCAGAAGUUAACUAAGUGGAAAGUACUUCACUGUGAGAAUGUUAUAUCGAACGCUUUCCAAAUGGAUAAUGAGUUUAGCACAUUUAUGCGUAACACAAACCUUCCAAAAGCAUGAAUAUUUGUGGCGAACCCCCCCAAAGCUCAUAACAUUAUUAUACUGAUUUUGACAGCUCAGCUUGAUCUGGGAUCAAAGAAUUUUUUCAGUAUUCAAAAGGUUUACAAAGUUGAAAGGACAUUUUUUACAUUGUGUUUUAAUUGUGAAAAUAAAUCUCUCAUUCUACAAUUAUCAGACUCUUCAUCUGUCGUUUCCGGGGGCUGUGUAAAAUAAAUACACGCAUGUAUUCAUAGAUCAAUGUCAAAACACCGCAAGGAUGUAAAAGAGCCAAAAUACGCGUUCCACUCCUUGUUUCGUGUCAACGUUCAGAAGAACUACACGUUCCAUUAAUUUGAAAGGUAUUAAUAAAAGACAUCUUUGUCGUUUUUGGAAUUAUGCCCUAGAUGCUGAUGCAUGCAUAUGAAAUGCAAAUAUAUUUGUGUACAUUUUAAUUGUGAUGAAUGUAUACAAUAAAG